UACGUAGAUGGCAAGCGUUGUCCGGAAUUAUUGGGCGUAAAGCGCGCGCAGGCGGUCCUUUAAGUCUGAUGUGAAAGCCCACGGCUCAACCGUGGAGGGUCAUUGGAAACUGGGGGACUUGAGUACAGAAGAGAAGAGUGGAAUUCCACGUGUAGCGGUGAAAUGCGUAGAGAUGUGGAGGAACACCAGUGGCGAAGGCGACUCUUUGGUCUGUAACUGACGCUGAGGCGCGAAAGCGUGGGAGCAAACAGG
rnacentral:rRNA from 1 species